rnacentral:rRNA from 1 species
UGGGGAAUAUUGCACAAUGGGCGAAAGCCUGAUGCAGCAACGCCGCGUGAGUGAUGAAGGCCUUCGGGUUGUAAAGCUCUGUCUUUUGGGACGAUAAUGACGGUACCAAAGGAGGAAGCCACGGCUAACUACGUGCCAGCAGCCGCGGUAAUACGUAGGUGGCAAGCGUUGUCCGGAUUUACUGGGCGUAAAGGAUGCGUAGGCGGAUUUUUAAGUGAGAUGUGAAAACCCUAAGCUUAACUUGGGGACUGCAUUUCAUACUGGAAAAUCUAGAGUGCGGGAGAGGAGAAAUGGAAUUCCUAGUGUAGCGGUGAAAUGCGUAGAGAUUAGGAAGAACACCAGUGGCGAAGGCGAUUCUCUGGACCGUAACUGACGCUGAGGCAUGAAAAGCGUGGGUAGCAAACAGGAUUAGAUACCCUGGUAGUCCACGCCGUAAACGAUGAGUACUAGGUGUAGGAGGUAUCGACCCCUUCUGUGCCGCAGUUAACACAAUAAGUACUCCGCCUGGGAAGUACGAUCGCAAGAUU